CAACAAGAGCAAAAUUCUGUCUCAAAAACAAACAAAUAAGCAAACAACAACAACAACAACAACAAAAAAGGCCAGGAGGCCAGGGUAAUAAGAUAUCAAGAGAAGGAAAAAACAAACAAACAAACGUAAAUGAAAUUGCUGGAGAGUAGUGGCCACCAAUCCUAUGCCUGACCUGGAACUGGAAACACAAGGCUUUCCUGAAGACAGAGAAACUCUGAAAAAACGGGAAAAGCAAGUCGGUGAAAAGAGCAAAAGAAAAGUUUCAGAAGGGACUUUGUUGACAUAGCACAGGAUGAAAGAGUAUCAAAGAGACCACCAAGCUUCAGAUGAUCAUGAAACAAAGGUUCCAGCCAGCUCCAUGUGAAGACACCACCCCAGCCAUCAAGAAGCUACCCUCCACUAGACAGAACAGGGACAGAGUUCCAUGAUCCCCAAUAGGUAGGGGCUACACCCCAAGGUAGCAUGAAGCAGUUACAGAAAAAAGACCAUCAGUCCCUCUGCCUCCCAUAAAGAUUUAUGGGGAUCACAUCUCUCAGGGAGGAGAUGAGACAGGAAAAUAAGGUCUGGAGGAGGGAACAUAAGGCCAGUUUAUACUUCAGCUAUAACAGGAAAUAUCCUCUCCAUAGGGCACAUGCUGUAAAUGACUUUGUAACUUUACCUCAUCUUCUCUGUUUACAUAGGACUUCCAAAAUAACAAAUAGAAUUCUCCAGGGGGUAAACUCCCAAAAAUUCUGUAACUGGGGCCUUUGAGCCGCUGUUCAGGCCCACUCCCACACUGUGGAGUG